rnacentral:rRNA from 1 species
UACGUAGGGUGCAAGCGUUAAUCGGAAUUACUGGGCGUAAAGCGUGCGCAGGCGGUUUUGUAAGUCAGAUGUGAAAUCCCCGGGCUUAACCUGGGAACUGCGUUUGAAACUACAAGGCUAGAGUGUGGCAGAGGGGGGUGGAAUUCCACGUGUAGCAGUGAAAUGCGUAGAGAUGUGGAGGAACACCGAUGGCGAAGGCAGCCCCCUGGGUUAACACUGACGCUCAGGCACGAAAGCUAGGGGAGCAAACAGG